GGUCCGUCUGCAGUCGGCAGCCUCGCCGGCAGCUCGCUCGGCCCCCGCUUGGCCCGGCCCGCAGGUAGGAGCCGCCGAGGGACGCGGCGCCCGGUUCCCGGCCCCGCCUGCGCCGCGCGCUCCCCGCUCCCGCCGCCCGCUUCGAGGAGCUGUUCUAUGAAGACCGCCAUUUCCACGAGGGCUGCUUCCGCUGCUGCCGCUGCCAGCGCUCACUAGCCGAUGAACCCUUCACCUGCCAGGACAGUGAGCUGCUCUGCAAUGACUGCUACUGCAGUGCGUUUUCCUCGCAGUGCUCCGCUUGUGGGGAGACUGUCAUGCCUGACGCUGACACAGGGUGGAGUGACAUACCGUGAUCAGCCGUGGCAUCGAGAAUGUCUGGUCUGUACCGGAUGCCAGACGCCCCUGGCAGGGCAGCAGUUCACCUCCCGGGAUGAAGAUCCCUACUGUGUGGCCUGUUUUGGAGAACUCUUUGCACCUAAGUGCAGCAGCUGCAAGCGCCCCAUCGUAGGACUCGGUGGAGGCAAGUAUGUGUCCUUUGAAGACCGACACUGGCACCACAACUGCUUCUCCUGCGCCCGCUGCUCUACCUCCCUGGUGGGCCAGGGCUUCGUACCGGAUGGAGACCAAGUGCUCUGCCAGGGCUGUAGCCAGGCAGGGCCCUAAGCCAGGGCUCCUGGACCCAGGCUUUCCCAUACCACGGGCCCAGGACUGUGGCUCCUUUUCUAAACCACCUCUGGGACUCAGCUCCCCCCGCCAAAAAAAAUGGGUCUCCUUCUGGGCUCCAGGAUUGUCUCCCCACUCCAGCAUCCCCAAACUGGUACUCCCUGACCCAGGGCCCCAAACCUGGGCUCUUACAGAGCCUCCAUGAGUCAAGCCCCCUCC
rnacentral:lncRNA from 1 species